rnacentral:rRNA from 1 species
AUUGAACGCUGGCGGCAGGCCUAACACAUGCAAGUCGAGCGAUCGGCGGACGGGUGCGUAAUGUCUGGGGAUCUGCCCGAUGGAGGGGGAUAACUACUGGAAACGGUGGCUAUUACCGCAUACUAUCGGAUGAACCCAGAUGGGAUUAGCUAGUAGGUGGGGUAAAGGCUCACCUAGGCGACGAUCCCUAGCUGGUCUUAGAGGAUGACCAGCCAAACUGGGACUGAGACACGGCCCAGACUCCUACGGGAGGCAACAGUGGGGAAUAUUGCACAAUGGGCGCAAGCCUGAUGAAGCCAUGCCGCGUGUAUGAAGAAAGCCUUAGGGUUGUAAAGUACUUUCAGCGGGGAGGCGUUACCCGCAGAAGAAGCACCGGCUAACUCCGUGCCAGCAGCCGCGGUAAUUA